rnacentral:rRNA from 1 species
UAGGGAAUAUUGGACAAUGGGGGCAACCCUGAUCCAGCCAUGCCGCGUGAGUGAAGAAGGCCCUCGGGUUGUAAAGCUCUUUUGUCCGGAAAGAAAAGCUUCGGGUUAAUACCCCGGGGUUCUGACGGUACCGGAAGAAUAAGCACCGGCUAACUUCGUGCCAGCAGCCGCGGUAAUACGAAGGGUGCAAGCGUUACUCGGAAUUACUGGGCGUAAAGCGUGCGUAGGUGGUUGUUUAAGUCUGAUGUGAAAGCCCUGGGCUCAACCUGGGAAUGGCAUGGUAAACUGGGCAGCUAGAGUGCGGUAGAGGGUAGUGGAAUUCCCGGUGUAGCAGUGAAAUGCGUAGAGAUCGGGAGGAACAUCUGUGGCGAAGGCGACUGCCUGGACCAGCACUGACACUGAGGCACGAAAGCGUGGGGAGCAAACA